rnacentral:rRNA from 1 species
AGGCUAGUUGGUGGGGUAAGGGCCUACCAAGGCGACGAUCGGUAGCUGGUCUGAGAGGAUGACCAGCCACACUGGAACUGAGACACGGUCCAGACUCCUACGGGAGGCAGCAGUGGGGAAUAUUGGACAAUGGGGGCAACCCUGAUCCAGCAAUGCCGCGUGUGUGAAGAAGGCCUGAGGGUUGUAAAGCACUUUCAGUGGGGAGGAGGGUUGAUAGGCUAAGAGCUAAUUAACUGGACGUUACCCACAGAAGAAGCACCGGCNAACUCCGUGCCAGCAGCCGCGGUAAUACGGAGGGUGCGAGCGUUAAUCGGAAUUACUGGGCGUAAAGGGUGCGUAGGUGGUUGAUUAAGUUAUCUGUGAAAUUCCUGGGCUUAACCUGGGACGGUCAGAUAAUACUGGUUGACUCGAGUAUGGGAGAGGGUAGUGGAAUUUCCGGUGUAGCGGUGAAAUGCGUAGAGAUCGGAAGGAACACCAGUGGCGAAGGCGGCUACCUGGCCUAAUACUGACACUGAGGCACGAAAGCGUGGGGAGCAAACAGGAUUAGAUACCCUGGUAGUCCACGCUGUAAACGAUGUCAACUAGCUGUUGGUUAUAUGAAAAUAAUUAGUGGCGC